AGAGAGAGACAUGCGCGCAUAUCAAUAAGCGGAGGAAAAGAAACUAACAAGGAUUCCCUUAGUAACGGCGAGUGAAGCGGGAAGAGCUCAAAUUUGAAAUCUUCAAGGUUUUACCUUGACGAAUUGUAGUUUAAAGAAGUGUUUUCUGCUGAAGUUUUGGUAAAAGUUCUUUGGAAUAGGACAUCAUAGAGGGUGAGAAUCCCGUAUUUGACCAUUAUUUUCAGCUUUGUGAUACACUUUCAAAGAGUCGGAUUGUUUGGGAAUGCAGUCCAAAAUGGGUGGUAAAUUUCAUCUAAAGCUAAAUAUUGGCGAGAGACCGAUAGCGAACAAGUACCGUGAGGGAAAGAUGAAAAGAACUUUGAAAAGAGAGUUAAACAGUACGUGAAAUUGUCAAAAGGGAAGCGUUUGACACCAGUGUUGUUUUCUCGAAAAUCAAUUAAAAAUGGCUCGAUUUUGUAUUGUUGAGACCUUUAAAAGCUCACUGUACAUUUUUCGUGUCUUUUUUAAUGCACUUUUCGUUUAACAAGUCAACAUCAGUUUCUUUUGUUGUAAAAGGGUCAUUGGAAGGUGGCUUUCUUUUCGGAGAAAGUGUUUAUAGCCUUUGGCCUCUGCAAUCGAAGAGACUGAGGUCUGCAGCGUAGACUCUUCGGGGUUAGAUACAUUUGUGCUAAGUUAUAGCUUUUUAUAGACAACUUGUUGACUAUAAUUAGUCUUGUAGCUUACUCGCUUAUGCUAUUUUACCUACGCUUAGGAUGUUGAGUCGUAGAGCACGCAG
rnacentral:rRNA from 1 species